UACGUAGGGUGCGAGCGUUAAUCGGAAUUACUGGGCGUAAAGCGUGCGCAGGCGGCUUUGCAAGACAGAUGUGAAAUCCCCGGGCUUAACCUGGGAAUGGCGCUUGUGACUGCAAAGCUGGAGUGCGGCAGAGGGGGAUGGAAUUCCGCGUGUAGCAGUGAAAUGCGUAGAUAUGCGGAGGAACACCGAUGGCGAAGGCAAUCCCCUGGGCCUGCACUGACGCUCAUGCACGAAAGCGUGGGGAGCAAACAGG
rnacentral:rRNA from 1 species